ensembl:snRNA U6 U6 spliceosomal RNA
GUGCUUGCUUUGGCAGCACAUAUUCUAAAAUUGGAACGAUACAGAGAAGAUUAGCAAGGCCCUUGAGUAAGGAUGACAUGCAAAUUCAUGAAGCGUUCCAUAUUUUU